GUGUGAGCCACCGCGCCGGCCUGUUUUCUAUUUUUGUCCCACAGAAUCAGCCGGAAUCUCUCUUGCCUAGAUCACCAUGGGGACAUAAGCCCAGGGUCACUGAGGACCCUGUCGCAGGUACCUGGGAGUCUUUAAACAUUAGUGCAGACUCAGGUCAGGCUGACAGGAAGGUCUAAAUCUGCUUCCAGUCUAUGGCCAUACCACUCCGAACAUGCGCUAUCUCAUCUCAUCUCGGAAGCUAAGCAGGGUCAGUCCUGGGAAUACUGGAUGCUGUAGGCUUUUUUCCUUUAAAAAUAAACAAAUAAACAAAGCUGCUUCCAUCUCAGAGGAAGAGAAAUGAGUCAUGCAUGUUUCUUCUUUCCCCCUCACAAAAGGAAUCUCUUUGAUUGAUAUCCAGAUGGGACUGGCUCCCGUUUCCUGGUAUUGGGUAAAAAACAAGGAGGAGAUCUCGAGACUCAAACUGAUAAACCAGUUGCUUCCAUUUCAUAUGGCCAUUACAAAAACAGAUGGCACAGUCUUGGGUCCUUACCAACCAGGAACUUUCAGUCUAGAGCCAGUGGAUAAACGGUUGAAUUCGGCAUCCUGUGGUCAGCACAAAGAAGGGAGGUAUACAGAGGAUUGUGGCUUCAUUGGGGCCACUUCUCUUUUCUUGUUCUUUUGUGAGUUCUGGUGUUGCCACCUGAAGGGCUAUUUAUGGACAAAAGAGUUGUUAUUAUCUUUAUUUCUAGUGCAUUUUCCUUGCCAAGAAUAAAUAUUUAGUUUCUAAUAUAUUUGUCCUAGAAAGCUCUAAGGGUGUUGGUUAAAUUGCCCGUGACUGGAUCUUAUAAAAUAGACGAGGAAGUAGCUAAAAUUGGUUAAAAUUACACAAACUCUGGGAGUCAAGCGUCUGUUGGGCAGGCCUAGGACAAAGAGAACCGGUAGUACCCAGAGGCCUAAAGGUGAGAAGCUGAGGGUCUGCUUCGUGGCCCAGCUCUGCCAGAUCAGCCUGCUUCCCAGGCCUUAUCCCACCCUGAAAUCUCCGUCGCAGAAUUCAUUAGAGGACAUCAGAGUUGUUGCGUGGUGGUUCCUGUGAUCUCUCCAGAGCAGGUGCUGACAAUUUUCCCAAACCCAAAAGCAGGUAAAUGAGAACAAAGCACUGUGUAAUUGUGGCCCUUUGUUUUUCAUUGAAACCAGUGCUGCCAGAGACAUCCCACCCAGCAGCCUGCUGUUCAUCCUGCAGACCCAGGUGUUCUUCAUUCCUGCAGAUGCAGUAGUUCCUCCAUGAGUUACCAGAAAGUAAAUACAAACACGACAACAACGAAAAAUCCCUCUCAACUACAUUUAACCCCUUCUUUCUGUAUCUCUCCCAUCUGUCUGUAUUUAGCUUUCAUUCUAUAUAUUUUCUUUCUAAAACUCAGUGAUGGAGAAACAGAAAAAGAAAAGCUGGGCCCUUCAUGUAAACCCUGGGGAUUAUGGAACACUUAGUACCCACCUCCCGGAGUGUUAGAAUUACCUCACCUAUUACUAGGUUUUCAGCGCUGUCCUCUGUAACACACUUCUGAGCACGUAGUAUGUGUUCCGUAAACAUUCAUUAAUGCCCGUGUCCACGUUCUCCCAGUGCAGACUUACUCAGACAUUGCUGCCUUCUCUAGACUUUAGUAAACUUUAAACGCUCAGCAGAGAAUGCCAUUUUUCAGGAUGGCGAUUGGUGGUCUUCACUUGCAAUCAGAAGCAUUGCUGGGUUUUUUUUGUUUGUUUGUGUUUUGAGACCAAGUUCCCUCUUGCUGCCCCGGCUAGAGUGCAAUGGUGCGAUCUCAGCUCACUGCAACCUCUGCCUCCCAGGUUCAAGCGAUUCGCCUGCCUCUGCCUUCCCCAGUAGCUGGAAUUACAGGCAUGCGCCACCACACCCGGCUAAUUUUGUAUUUUUAGUAGAGACACGGUUUCUCCAUGUUGGUCAGGCUGGUCUUGAACUCCUGACCUCAGGUGAUCCACCCGCCUCGGCCUCCCAAAGUGCUGGGAUUACAGGCGUGAGCCACUGCGCCCGGCCAAAGCAUUUCUGUUGUGAUACCGGUGUUGAGUACAAGGGACUCUGUGCUGUAUUUGCCUUCUCUAGCUGAGUGCUGCUGAUGAGGAGUCCGGGGGAACAGUAUCAGAAGACUUGUUAUAGAAGCCCAUUUGCAGACCCCUUUCACACCUGCGGAAACACAUUACUUAGAAUGGGGCCUGGAAUACCAAAUUAGAAUACCAAAUUAUUUAUAUGUACAUUGAAGCCAGAGAGACAGUACUCAGGUAUGUGGUUCUCAGCCCAGGCUUUCAAUUAGAAACAAAUAGCCAGUUUGGAGAACUACCAUCACACAUGCUGUCUCCAAAGAUCCUGUCUGUGGUCUGGAUGGAAGCAUAAUUGUUGUUUUAAGUAAGUGCCCCCCAGCGAUUCUAAGGUGAGAUCAGAGUCAACCUUGAGGGCUCCCAGAUACAGUCACGAGACUUGGGUUCCAAAAGGAGGUCAGAGGGCCUGCUCUUCGGUUUGAUAAGGGUAGGUCACCAAGAUCCAUAUUUCCUUUGCUGUACCAGAAAUUGCUGGAGUUCAUGGCAGGGGAGAUCACCUGAAGGCAGGAAAUUUUUGGUCUUUAUGUGGUAGCUCAUUUUUCCUCUCCUGUGAUAAAGAAUAGGGGAGUAUUCCCUUUUCUGCACUGCAGGGCCUUCUGCCUCUAGGUGUGCUGGUUGCAGGUGAAAGGGUUGUGUUGACACCUUUAAAGACAUAUUCUCAAAUGCAGGUGUGAUUUGUCCAGAUAAUCUCACCUGAGAAGGAAUCCCAGAGAAGAAGGAAGAAGAGGAAGAAAUGGCUGGUUCUCAGGUGAAUGUGUCUGGGUUCAGGGGAUGUGUCUCCUCUUUUCUUCUGGGAUGUUAUGUGUUUAGAACUUGCAAACCUUUAUUUCUGUACUUCUGAUGUACCUGCCUAAUGUGUUUCUUCCCAACUACCUUCCCCCCUUCCCCCCUCCUUUCUUAUGAUUGAUAAGGAACUCUGUAAAAUCCUUCCUCCUGUGUACCAGAACCUUCUCUCCAUUCCCUCCUUCCAGGCUUCUUAUAUGUCAUGACCAAAUCUUACCAUUAAUGUAUGAUGGGCAGUAUUCAGAUGUUCUGUGACAUAUCAACAUGGGAAAGUGUGGAUCCCCAGGAUUAUCCGUGGGGAUGGGGCUGGGUCUUGGGAUGUCAGUGAAGAAGGGGAUCAUGUACCGUUUAGAUUUCAUCCACAUGCUCCAUCAUCUCUAUGCAGAACAGAAUUAAGAAAAGAGACAUUUAAAGAGGAUGGCAUUCAUUGCCUGGAAUAACUUAAAGUUCUGAAAAGAGAAUAAUUAGAAGACAUUUGCUGUCUAGGAUGCUAAAGAAACACUAUUGAAAUACCCUAUUGCAGAUUAAAGAACCAGGGAAACAGCUAUAGCUUGAACUUUGCAUAAAACUGAUGUUUCUGGCCAGGCACUGUGGCUCACACCUGUAAUCCCAGCACUUUGGGAGGCUGAGGCGGGCAGAUCACUUGAGGUCAGGAGUUCAAGACCAGCCUGGCUAACAUGAUGAAACCCCAUCUCUACUAAAAAUACAAAAAUUAACUGGGCAUGGUGGUGCACGCCUGUAAUCCCAGCUAUUUGGGAGGCUGAGGUGGGAGAAUCACUGGAACCUGGGAAGCAGAGGCUGCAGUGAGCCAAGAUUGCACCAUUGCACUCCAGCCUGAGCGACAGAGCAAGACUGUCUCCAAAAAACAAAACAAAAAAAGGAUGUUUCUACAUGAUUAGGUUCAGAUUGUAAUUUACUAUUUUUGUGGUCAAUAAUAUUAGAGCAGUGAUACUUUGUCCUUGAUGUCAUGUGAUCCUUGAUGUCAUUUUAUCCUUGACAUCUUUGAUGUUGAUUUAUCCUAUUAUAGUUGAUCUUAAUUUUAUUUACUUGGUUAAGGUGCUCUCUGCCAGAUUUUUGCACGAUAGAGAUAUUUUUUUCAUUAUUGUUUAGUACCUUGGGGAGAUUUACUGACUGAUACAUAUAAGCCAUCACAUUUAAUUAGGAAGCUCUUCUUUCUUUUUAGAUUCUCCUCGCUUAUAGCUUGCUUUGGAAAAUGAAGGCUCUCGUGUUUGUUUAUUGGUUAGAUAAACUGAAAUAAACACAGGCUCUGCCACUUCCUGCAUGUUUGAAAAAAUAUUUUCCUUGGCCCAGACACAGUGGCAUCACUGUAUGGCUCACUUAGAAAUUCAGAGACUCAGGCUUCACCCUAGGUCCUCUGAAUCACAACCUGCAUUUUAAGAGGAUCUCUAGUUUAUUGUGUACGCAUUAAAAUUUCAGGGGUACCUUCUGAUGAAUCAUGACCUCUACAUAUGAGAAAUAUUUACAGUUUAUCCUGUGUGAGGUAAAUAGAGCAGGAAAAAAUGUAUAUGCCUGCGUUGAUGCCCUUAAUUUUAUACUGUAUUAUUCACAAGAGUAGAAUAUGUACACUGGUUAUGUGGAGCUUAUGCCAUCCUCUUUCUUCAGGAUUAAAGAAUAUGUUAGAGAAUAUUUCUGUGUUUACAAUUAUUUGAUCAUUUCAGUCUCUUCUAUAAGUAAGAACCAGUUCUCUCUGUCUCUCUUUGUGCCUGGAAUCAGAUUAAGAACUCUGCCCAUGACCACUUGAUACGUAUGUGUUUUUUCUUUGCCAGGGACUGUUGAUAUUCAGGGAUGUGGCCAUAGAAUUCUCUCCGGAGGAGUGGAGCUAUCUGGACCCUGCUCAGCAGAAUCUGUAUAGGGACGUGAUGUUAGAAAACUACAGAAACCUGGUCUCCCUGGGUAUUGCUGUCUCUAAGCCAGACCUGAUCACCUGUCUAGAGCAAAGGAAUGAGCCCUGGAAUGUGAAGAAACAUGAGACAGUAGCCAGACACCCAGGUAGGUGGGAGUAAAUGAA
rnacentral:lncRNA from 1 species